rnacentral:rRNA from 1 species
CUUAACACAUGCAAGUCGAACGGAAAGGCCUUUUCGGAGGUACUCGAGUGGCGAACGGGUGAGUAACACGUGGGUGAUCUGCCCUGCACUCUGGGAUAAGCCUGGGAAACUGGGUCUAAUACCGGAUAGGACCGCACUUUAGUGUGUGUGGUGGAAAGUUUUUUCGGUGUAGGAUGAGCCCGCGGCCUAUCAGCUUGUUGGUGGGGUAAUGGCCUACCAAGGCGGCGACGGGUAGCCGGACUGAGAGGUUGGUCGGCCACAUUGGGACUGAGAUACGGCCCAGACUCCUACGGGAGGCAGCAGUGGGGAAUAUUGCACAAUGGGCGCAAGCCUGAUGCAGCGACGCCGCGUGGGGGAUGACGGCCUUCGGGUUGUAAACUCCUUUCGCCAGGGACGAAGCGUUUUGUGACGGUACCUGGAGAAGAAGCACCGGCUAACUACGUGCCAGCAGCCGCGGUAAUACGUAGGGUGCAAGCGUUGUCCGGAAUUACUGGGCGUAAAGAGCUCGUAGGUGGUUUGUCACGUCGUCUGUGAAAUUCCACAGCUUAACUGUGGGCGUGCAGGCGAUACGGGCUGACUUGAGUACUGUAGGGGUAACUGGAAUUCCUGGUGUAGCGGUGAAAUGCGCAGAUAUCAGGAGGAACACCGAUGGCGAAGGCAGGUUACUGGGCAGUCACUGACGCUGAGGAGCGAAAGCAUGGGUAGCAAACAGGA